GUGGGGAAUAUUGGACAAUGGGGGGAACCCUGAUCCAGCCAUGCCGCGUGUGUGAAGAAGGCCUUUUGGUUGUAAAGCACUUUAAGCGAGGAGGAGGCUACCGAGAUUAAUACUCUUGGAUAGUGGACGUUACUCGCAGAAUAAGCACCGGCUAACUCUGUGCCAGCAGCCGCGGUAAUACAGAGGGUGCAAGCGUUAAUCGGAUUUACUGGGCGUAAAGCGCGCGUAGGUGGCCAAUUAAGUCAAAUGUGAAAUCCCCGAGCUUAACUUGGGAAUUGCAUUCGAUACUGGUUGGCUAGAGUAUGGGAGAGGAUGGUAGAAGUCCAGGUGUAGCGGUGAAAUGCGUAGAGAUCUGGAGGAAUACCGAUGGCGAAGGCAGCCAUCUGGCCUAAUACUGACACUGAGGUGCGAAAGCAUGGGGAGCAAACAGGAUUAGAUACCCUGGUAGUCC
rnacentral:rRNA from 1 species